GACGAACGCUGGCGGCGCGCUUAACACAUGCAAGUCGAGCGAGAACCAGCCCUUCGGGGCUUGGGGACAGCGGCGGACGGGUGAGUAACACGUGGGUAAUCUGCCCUUGACAUCGGGAUAGCCCGGGGAAACCCGGAUGAAUACCGAAUAGCCUCCGGAGCCUUCGGGCGCCGGAGAAAAGGUAGCUUCGGCCUCUGGUCAAUGAUGAGCCCGCGGCGGAUUAGCUUGUUGGCGGGGUAACGGCCCACCAAGGCGACGAUCCGUAGCUGGUCUGAGAGGACGAUCAGCCACACUGGGACUGAGACACGGCCCAGACUCCUACGGGAGGCAGCAGUGGGGAAUCUUGCGCAAAUGCGGGAAACCGUGACGCAGCGACGCCGCGUGGGGGAAGAAGGCCUUCGGGUUGUAAACCUCUUUCAGGAGGGACGAAGCUACUCGGGUUAAUAGCCCAGAGGGUGACGGUACCUCCAGAAGAAGCCCCGGCUAACUACGUGCCAGCAGCCGCAGUAAAAC
rnacentral:rRNA from 1 species